rnacentral:lncRNA from 1 species
GGGAAUAUUCAUGUUUACCGUCACUAAAAAGACAUUUCCAAAAAUAUCUUUUUCAUUAAGUGACAAAAAACUUUUAUAUAUUUUUUCUUUAUAUAUAAUAAAUAAUUAUUUAAUUAAAUAAAUAAAUAAAUAUAAAUAAAUAAUUAUGUUUUCGAAUUAUACUUUUCCAAAUUUGAACUUUUUUAUAAUGUUUUUUUUUUAUUUUUUCCAAAAUUUCUUUCUAAAAUUAUUUUUGAAACUGUAUUUUAAAAUUUAUAUAUUUUUAACUAUUUAUUUAUAUAUUUAUUAGAAUCCUAAAUUUCACAUUUCAAAAAUUAUAUCCCACCCCUCAACUAUAAACCCUAAGUCAG